ensembl:snRNA U6 U6 spliceosomal RNA
GUGUUUACUUCAGCAGCACAUAUACUAAAACUGGAACAAUACAGAGAAGAUAAGCAUGGCCCUUGCUAAGUGAAUUUAUUUACAAAACAGAAGUAGAGUCAUGGAUGU